CCUAUCAACUUUCGGUGUUACUUUCUGUGCCUACCGUGGUGACCACGGGUUACGGGAAUCAGUAUUCGAUUCCG